UUUGUUCUGGGUACCCAUGGCAACAACAGGGAGGAGUCACAUGACUGAGCUGAGGAACUGGUUACCAAGUCCCAAACAAGGAAGACACGGCGAGGCACAAGACCGAGACGAAGGUCAGUCCAUGUUUUAAAGAUUACUGAGAAUGUUGUUUUUUUACUGCUUACAAAACUAUAACAACAACAAAAUACAGUAUAGUCUUAUUUUAUAAUCCAGACAGACGAAAAAAAAUUUUGUCCUUUUUGUCCUGCUGUUUCAGUUCCACACACACACCACUAGUUGUCAGUAUGGUUGGAUGUUGGACUUCCUUACUCAUUACUGAAUAAUGCUAAAUGUUCAGUAGUGUGACGGUGUGGCACCGUCAGAUGACGAGGGGGGGCCACACCGUGUUUUAUUGUUUGUGUAUUGAUGUGCUUUGUUAUUUAUGACUACCACCUGUGGUGCCGCCUGGACGGGAAUGGAGAGCAACGCCCCGUGGGCGUGGCAUCCCAUUUAAAGGUGAGCACCGCAGGUGGUGAAAGGAGGAGUGACGGAGGUGCCAUGCGCUGUGUGGCCCUGCGUGUAGCAGCACCCCUGCACCCCCACCUCUGACAAAUGCUGAGGAGAUGGCCCUGAGUCUGAACAGUGGAAGGCCGGUGGCUGAGGGAAUUCCUGCAGGGAGUUCAUCAGAGCCAGUCACUCACUCCCCAGGAAACAAGUGCCUUCAUCAAAUAUUCUGAUGGCAAUAUCGUCCUUUUAGACCCUCCUGUCACAACUGAACCCCAGGCAGUUAAAUUAAAAACUUUGAUGCUCUCGCGGGCCACAUGAAAUGACAUGGAGGGCCACAUUUGGCCCCCGGGCCUUGGGUUUGACACAUGUGAUGUAGAGGAUGACACACUGUCUGCUUAUACCGACAGACCUAUAGAGAGUGUGGAGGAACAACCGCCGCAGGAUGAGGAGGAGGAGGUGGAGGUGGAAGGUCCAUCAAACUCCUCUGCACGGAUGAACACAGUUCAGUGACGUACAGUAAAUGCCAGAGUGUUAUUCUAUGGAAUUCAUGUUGAAUGAACAUGGACCCCACACUACUGUACUUUCAGUCACCAGUUAAGGAGUUGUAUAGAUUUCAUCUUAAUAAACAAAUUGAGAAGACCGAUAAAGAGAUGUCCUACUUAGAUCGAAAGAUCCUUAAGUCAGAUCUGGAAAUUGAGAUCCUAAAACACAAGCUACAGGUAUGGUGUGUAUUGUGAUUGGUGAAUUCUAUAAAGGUUUUGGAUGAAUAUUGAAUUCUUACUGUUGCUUUUCAAUUUGUAAGAAAUAAGGAAGACCAAAUAAAUUGUGACUUGAAUUUA